CAUUUGUUCUCUAAAUAAGGACUUGUAUGAAUGGCCACACGAGGGUUUUACUGUCUCUUACUUCCAAUCAGUGAAAUUGACCUCCCCGUGAAGAGGCGGGGAUAAAUCAACAAGACGAGAAGACCCUAUGGAGCUUUAACUAACUAAUCCAAGGAAAAUAAAUUUAAUCACCAAGAGAUAACAACACUCCUUAUGAAUUAGCAGUUUCGGUUGGGGUGACCUCGGAGAACAGAAAAUCCUCCGAGCGAUUUUAAAGACUAGACUAACAAGUCAAACCAAACCAUCGCUUAUUGAUCCAAAAACUUGAUCAACGGAACAAGUUACCCUAGGGAUAACAGCGCA
rnacentral:rRNA from 1 species